rnacentral:rRNA from 1 species
UGGUAUGCCUAAUACAUGCAAGUCGAACGGAUCUUGGUUUCGGCCAAGAUUAGUGGCAAACGGGUGAGUAAUACAUAUCUAACAUGCCCCUCUGUGGGGGAUAGCCGCUUGAAAAAGCGAUUAAUACCCCAUAGGAAGCUUUAUCUAUGAUUUAGCUUUUAAAGCCUUCGGGCGCUGAGGGAUUGGGAUAUGCUCUAUUAGCUAGUUGGCGGGAUAAAAGCCCACCAAGGCAAUGAUAGAUAGCUGGUCUUAGAGGAUGAACAGCCACAGUGGGAUUGAGAUACGGCCCAUAUUCCUACGGGAAGCAGCAGUAGGGAAUCUUCCACAAUGGACGAAAGUCUGAUGGAGCAAUACCAUGUGAACGAUGAAGGCCUUUUUGGUUGUAAAGUUCUUUUACGAGGGAUAAUUAUGAUAGUACUUCGUGAAUAAGUGACAGCAAACUAUGUGCCAGCAGCUGCGGUAAUACAUAGGUCGCGAGCAUUAUUCGGAUUUAUUGGGCGUAAAGCAAGCGCAGGCGGAUGUGUAAGUUCUGUGUUAAAUGCAGCUACUCAAUAGUUGUAUGCACCGAAUACUACAUGUCUAGAUUGUGGUAGGGAGUUUCG